rnacentral:rRNA from 1 species
GAGUUAGCCGGGACUUCUUCUUCAGGUACCGUCAUUAAUUCUUCCCUGAUGAAAGAGCUUUACAAUCCGAAGACCGUCAUCACUCAUGCGGCAUGGCUGGGUCAGGCUUGCGCCCAUUGCCCAAUAUUCCCCA